rnacentral:lncRNA from 1 species
GGGAAAGCUUUGAUGAUCGAGGCAAGCAGAAUAUUGUGACUUUCCAAGUUUAUAAAAAAAAAAAGUUUAUAUGACAUCAAAUAGUAUAUUGGAGGCAAUUAUCUACUUUUUGGUACCUAGUGAAAUCAGGAUUUGUUUCUGUUGCAAGUUCCAUGGUGAGCUUCAGAAGAAUUAGUCAGCAUAGUCUCUUCCACUGAAAGUCAAUGGAAGAUCUCAUGUACAUAGGCAUUUGAUUUUUAUAUUCUUUUAGCAAUGUAUAUAGGAAAUGACAUGCCAGUCUUGUUGAUCAUGCUGAUCUAAUCUGAUCAUGACAUACCCUGGUUAGCCUAUAUUUGCUGCUAUAAAGUUGCUAAAGUCGAAAUGAUUGACAAAAUUUAUAGAAGAAUUCACUCGUGUAACUUUUUGUAUGAAGAUUCUCCCAACAACAUUGUUCUGUAACACAUGUAAGGACAACAUUUGAAUGAAGAUCUUGAUGAAUAAACUGCAUGUUAACCAGCACUUUAAAUAUUAGUCAAGUGUGCAGAUGUUUUGAACACCAAAAUGAUCGUCGAAUUAUUCAAGGGAUUGAUUUACACAAAAUGUCUGUUUGUAUGUAGACCUCAAUACUCCUACACUAUACAAUAUACAUAAUGCAAAACAGAUAUUUUUUUUUCCCAUCAUGCUCAAUGGCGUAGCGUAAUCUAUAUAGCCGACCUCACUUAGUGAGAUAAGACUUUUAUUGUUGUUGUUGUAGUUGUGUAUCAUUCCUCAUAACUAUCUAUUUUGUUGAUGAUUUUUGUUAGAUCUAGUAGGAAUUGAACUAUAAUAACAAUAAAAGCUAUUUGAUGGUUAUGACGUAUAGAAUAAUUUGCUUUGAUUAGAUAUAAUUUAUAUAAUAAUAACUUUCAAUAUAUUUAUUGAGAAUAUUUUGAAUUUGUAUUUGAUUAGAAAGCUUAGAAACUUUAAAUUACUUGCAUUAAAUAUUAUUUAUCAUGAGCCACAUGAGGUAUAUGAAAAGUCACUUGUAGGCUUUAAGAAAUAAUAUUUCAUGUACUAAUGAUAUUCUUUUAAUUUUUUUUGGUUACAUUUGAAAUACUGAAAGACAGAUAAUUACGCUUAUGUUUUACUUUUGUUGAAAGAUAAAAUAAGCAAAGUAUUGUAAAGCAUGGAGUAAUAGAAUCUGGGGAAGGACAUCUAAUGCAAAUUGCUGAUAUGACAUAAAUGAGCUUUACAUGUCUUUAAAGCUUACACUGGUACGUUUCUUUUAGAGGCUGCUCCAUUCUAUGCUUCAUUUUGUUUAACCAUGAAAGAUGUUUUGCAGGUUACAACGCCGCUUUUGUUUAAAUUGAUACCUGCUUUCAUGAAUCUGGGUGUUCUCAUGCACUGGUUCCCCGCUGAAAGUAGUACACCAAAUGAGGUCUCUCAUAUUUUCACUUGUGAUUCGAUUGCUUUUACUCACAAAUAACUAUUUAUCACUUUGUCAUUCAAAGUAGGCUGCACUUUUUUAGGGGUUAUGAAUAUGAUAUGAUUGCAAAUCAUAUAGAACUUUCUUGGGGGUAAAGAUUGCAUGUUUUAUGGUACAUUUUGUUAAUUACAAUUCACAUCACUAGCUUGAAGGGUUGAACUCCUUCAUCAUCUGCUUCAUAAUUAUUGUAAAUUAAUCUGGGGUGACAUUUUUUACUGGAUAUUUCCUGCCAUUGCUUCUUUGCGUUUAAAUCUUAUAUUGAGGCGUAAAUAUUUAAUCUAUCUUCUUCGGGCAAGGCUUUGGGUCUUCUUGUAAAUAUAUUCAUGCUGACCUAUAUUGCAUUUACUUCAAAGAUAGACAUUCUUUACUUAUAACUGCUGGCACAUUCCAACUUUAUUUUUUACUCUCUUGGCUUCCCCUAAGUUGAUUGCAAUAUUCCUUUACAUGUAUAAUCUUUAUUUUGUAUUGAAUUGAGUAUUGGAAAACCAAGGAUGGUCUUCUCCUGCCAAAAAUCAUGAAUAUAUAGCAACAUAACAUGUCUUUUACUUUUAACAGGGGAAAGCUUUGAUGAUCGAGGCAAGCAGAAUAUUGUGACUUUCCAAGUUUAUAAAAAAAAAAAGUUUAUAUGACAUCAAAUAGUAUAUUGGAGGCAAUUAUCUACUUUUUGGUACCUAGUGAAAUCAGGAUUUGUUUCUGUUGCAAGUUCCAUGGUGAGCUUCAGAAGAAUUAGUCAGCAUAGUCUCUUCCACUGAAAGUCAAUGGAAGAUCUCAUGUACAUAGGCAUUUGAUUUUUAUAUUCUUUUAGCAAUGUAUAUAGGAA